UCACCAUGUUGGCCAGGCUGUCUGGAACUCUUGACCUCAGGUGAUCCGCCCAACUUGGCUUUCCAAAAGUGUUGGGAUUACAGGCGUCAGCUAUCGCCUCCUAUUGACUUUUAAAAGGAGGUUGAGUGGCUUCAGGGGUCACACGCCUUGAGCAUCCAAGUGGCCUUCCCCCACUGCCCAAUGAGCAAGUGAGUAGAUUUGGAUGCACAAAAACACAUAUUUCCACGCCAUUUCUUGACUAACGAUCUUUCUUGUUUUAUUCUCAUGAUUCCGUUUCUAGUCUCUAGGCCGUGCCUGGUCCCAGAUCCAAGCUCCCUGGAAGCUGGUACUUGGGCCGCCCUGGGUAGGCAGCACUGAGCAAGGCAGGCGGACAGCGCUGGGCUCGCGGGCCUGCGAGGUCCUGCGUCCUCCGCGGAGUGUUGGCGGCGGGGGUCGCUUCUGCGAGGGGACACCGAGCAGAGGGGGCGUGCGGCCUCUCUAGGAAGCUUUCUCGGACCCCGGACGCUGGCAAGGACCCGCCCCUCUUCCGGACCCCGGCGCGGCCCCCUGCACCUGGGGCUAGCAGCGGAGUCGCUUCUCCCUGCAGCCCCUCCCUGGGUCUGGUGGGACGCAUCCCCGGCGGACCCCGAGGCUGCAGCCAGCGCCCCUGCGGCUUCUCACCCGCGCUACUCCGCCGCAGCGAGGCCCCGCACUUCGCGCGCUAGGAGUUUGGAGUCUGGACCCCCCGCCGGAGCCGAGCCGCCAGGCCGCCCCGCACCCGGCACCAGGGGCCGAUGUCGCCCCUGCAGCAGCUCUCACGGGGCGGCGCUGCGCAGGCGCCGAAGCCCGGAACCUUCGCGCCCAGCUUCUGGGCCCGGCCGGGCCAAGUUCGCCGCCGUCCCGGUUCCCCUCGAGUCGGCUCCAACUGCCAGCCCGGGUUGGCGCCAUGUACGCCGUGUACAAACAGGCGCAUCCGCCCACCGGCCUGGAGUUCGCCAUGUACUGCAACUUCUUCAACAACAGCGAGCGCAACCUCGUGGUGGCCGGGACCUCGCAGCUCUACGUGUACCGCCUCAAUCGCGACGCCGAGCAAGUUGUUUGGAAGGAACGAACGCCCACUGUGUGCUGGGUAGCAGGGAUACCAUGUGAACCACACCUGCAGACACUUGGGGGAGGGGAACAUCUAAAUAAACACACCUGCCCCUGAAGCAAGUGCUGCUGCGGGGAUAAAGGAGUGAAUGAAGGAAACUCUGUUAUUUCCAGUCGCAUGAUCAGAAGAGCCUGUCUGAGGCAGAGCGGGAGUUUAUCAGAGGAAGGACAUUCCUAGCACCAGGAACAAGGCCAGGUCUAGGAUGAGGACAGACUGUUGACAGGAGUCUUGGUACACUGGGGCACGUGCCUCAAGGGUUUGGGAAAUACAGUGGCAUUUUGGUUGCCAGAGGGUUGAAAGCUGGUCCAGAAAGGCUACUUGCAAGAGGCAGUUUCUCCAUUGUUCUUGAAGGGAGGAGUAACUCUUACCCAGGACCAGGGAAGGUGAGAGGAGGGUGUUCCAGGCAGAAGAAACAGCCUGUGCACAGGUCCAAAGCAGUUGAGGGUGGAGAGUCAUGGCACGGUGUGGCCGUGGUGUAGAGUGGAUGUGGUGGUGGGGAUGGAGGGAGGUAGGCUGUGGUCAGGACUGUUCUCCACAAAGCAGGGAGGAGCCACAAGAGGGUUGUGAAUAGGGGCUGACCCAGCAAACAGAUGGGUCAGAGGCGUAGGCCAAAGGAGGCCAACCCUCCUGGGCACCUACCCCAGCAUACACGUGUUUGCUGGCCAGGGCUCCAUCCUCUGAAGGCUUGACGAGGGCUGGAGUUUCUGCUCCGAACACAUGGUUGGCAGGAGGCUGCAGUUUCUCGCCACAUGGGCCCCUCCCUGGGUCAACUCACAACAUGGCAGCCUCCCUCACAAUGAGAGACUCACCAAGACUGAAGCCACAGUGAGUCCUGUAACCUAAUCUCAGGCUGGGUGCAUUGGCUGUCUUGCCGCAGCAGGGGGCA
rnacentral:lncRNA from 1 species